UUCAUCCACGUAUCACUCUACAAUUCACCACUUUUUAAGCCAAUCAUCUUACAUGCAAUUUUCCCUUCCCGGAAUAAAUUUGCCAAAAACUCAAGAUCAUUCACAGAAAAUCCAAUUGUCAUCAGCUUUCUUUCCUCUCCAUAAAUUCAUCCGAAUCACAAGCAUCCCUUCAAGAAAGUUUUGUCCCAAAAAUAAAAAAUCUGAUACACCAUACAUCUCAAAACAAAGAACACAGCCUGUCCACUUGAUAGAAGGUUUUAGCACUGGUUUUACAAGAAGAGAAUUGUGUAAAUUUUAUCUACAGGCUUGUCCUAUCAAGGUUGAGCGGCAGGUGGUGUCGUGCGAGGCUGAGGGAGGAUGUUGCUGUAGUUUCAUAUAAUAAUUUUCGCUGCCAUAAUAUUCACUUAGGUGGAUAUCUUUUGAGAUUGACUCUUUAAAUACUCUUAGCCUAAUUAUUAUGAACUCUUUUGGCAAUCACAUUUCUAGCAAUUGAA